UGGGGAGUCGUCAAGUGGUUAAGACUCUGGGUUUUGAUCCCAGCAUGCGUAGGUUCGAAUCCUACCUCCCCAGCCA
rnacentral:tRNA from 2 species